rnacentral:rRNA from 2 species
GAUGGAGCAACACCGCGUGAGUGAAGAAGGGUUUCGGCUCGUAAAGCUCUGUUGUUGGAGAAGAACGUGCGUGAGAGUAACUGUUCACGCAGUGACGGUAUCCAACCAGAAAGUCACGGCUAACUACGUGCCAGCAGACCGCGGUAAUACGUAGGGUGGCAAGCGUUAUCCGGAUUUAUUGGGCGUAAAGCGAGCGCAGGCGGUUGCUUAGGUCUGAUGUGAAAGCCUUCGGCUUAACCGAAGAAGGGCAUCGGAAACCGGGCGACUUGAGUGCAGAAGAGGACAGUGGAACUCCAUGUGUAGCGGUGGAAUGCGUAGAUAUAUGGAAGGACACCAGUGGCGAAGGCGGCUGUCUGGUCUGCAACUGACGCUGAGGCUCGAAAGCAUGGGUAGCGAACAGGAUUAGAUACCCUGGUAGUCCAUGCCGUAAACGAUGAGUGCUAGGUGUUGGAGGGUUUCCGCCCUUCAGUGCCGGAGCUAACGCAUUAAGCACUCCGCCUGGGGAGUACGACCGCAAGGUUGAAACUCAAAGGAAUUGACGGGGCCC